GACAGAAGGUGCGAACGUUGUUCGGAAUUACUGGGCGUAAAGCGCGUGUAGGCGGCCCGGUAAGUCAGGUGUGAAAGCCCUGGGCUCAACCUAGGAAGUGCACUUGAAACUACCGGGCUGGAGAUCUGGAGAGGAAGGCGGAAUUCUCGGUGUAGAGGUGAAAUUCGUAGAUAUCGAGAGGAACACCGGUGGCGAAGGCGGCCUUCUGGACAGCAUCUGACGCUGAGACGCGAAAGCGUGGGGAGCAAACAGG
rnacentral:rRNA from 1 species